GCACCAAUAGCUCAGCUGGUAGAGCAACUGACUCUUAAUCAGUAGGUCCAGGGUUCGAGCCCCUGUUGGUGUACCA
rnacentral:tRNA from 1 species